GGCCCAUUGGCAUUCAUGAACCGGAAUUUGGAGAGGAAUUCCCACGGUGACGCACACUAUUUUGGAAGAAUUGUAGAUAACCUGUUUACUUCUGGCUUCUAUUGAUGCAAACCUUAUCCACAAAAAACUUCAAUCUCAAAAACAUCAUCCACAAUAGCCCCUAUAAACAAACUAGUCUCUGCAGCACUUUCACUGGAAUGAGUUCACCACUCCUAUCACCUCUUAUUCCCACCACCCGCAUGAAUAAUCUUUGUUUUGGGGACCAGAAUUGCUAUCAUCUAUUGAUGGUUACUUGUUCUUAUGGCAUGGAAGCUGAAGUUGGAACAUGGAACCUUGAUGCUGUUCCUUUAUAGACUCAGAUAGUCUUCAUGAAGCUGGUGGAAGUGUAAUAAAAUAUGUAUGAAUUAUUUUCCUUUAGAAAAGGGAAGGGUCGGUUUCUCACUGGACAAAGCUCACAUCACAUGGAAAGGCCAGACAAAUGAAAGGGCCACAAAUACAAUGCACCUCUGUCUGCUAAGAAUAUUAUAAAAAGACAGUCUAUCAGCUAUCAAUGCGGCUAUCAAUUCUCAGAUUAUAAUAAGCGCAUGGUCAUUGAUUUCAGACAGAAAAGAAUCUCAGUCCUGCAACUAAAGAAGCUGAAAAUCGUUUGUAUCAAACAAUAAAUGUUCUGAUAUAUUCUGUACAAAGAAUUUCUGAAGUUAGUUCAUAUUUUUCCAA